rnacentral:rRNA from 1 species
AGGGUUCGAUUCUGGCUCAGAACGAACGCUGGCGGCAGGCCUAAAACAUGCAAGUUGAACGGUUGUAGCAAUACAGCAGUAGCGGACGGGUGAGGAACAUAUGGGAACGUGCCCUUUGGUGUGGAAUAACAUCUGGAAACGGGUGAUAAUACCGCAUAAGCCCUGCGGGGGAAAGAUUUAUCGCCGAAGGAGCGGCCCAUAUCAGAUUAGCUAGUUGGUUAGGUAACGGCUGACCAAGGCGACGAUCUGUAGCCGGUUUGAGAGGAUGAUCGGCCACACUGGGACUGAGACACGGCCCAGACUCCUACGGGAGGCAGCAGUUAGGAAUAUUGGACAAUGGGGGAAACCUUGAAUCCAGCCAUGCCGCGUGAGUGAAGAAGGCCUUCGGGUUGUAAAGCUCUUUUGUAUGGGAAAAAGAUGAUGGUACCAUAAGAAUAAGCACCGGCAAACUUCGUGCCAGCCGCGGC